UACGGAGGGUGCAAGCGUUAUCCGGAUUUACUGGGUUUAAAGGGUGCGUAGGUGGGUAGGAAAGUCAGUGGUGAAAUCUUCGGGCUUAACCCGGAAACUGCCAUUGAUACUACUGGUCUUGAAUUUUCUGGAGGUAAGCGGAAUAUGUCAUGUAGCGGUGAAAUGCUUAGAUAUGAUGUAGAACACCGAUUGCGAAGGCAGCUCACUAAGCAGACAUUGACGCUGAGGCACGAAAGCGUGGGGAUCAAACAGG
rnacentral:rRNA from 1 species